rnacentral:rRNA from 1 species
GACGAACGCUGGCGGCGUGCUUAACACAUGCAAGUCGAACGGAAAGGCCCUGCUUUUGUGGGGUGCUCGAGUGGCGAACGGGUGAGUAACACGUGAGUAACCUGCCCUUGACUUUGGGAUAACUUCAGGAAACUGGGGCUAAUACCGGAUAGGAGCUCCUGCUGCAUGGUGGGGGUUGGAAAGUUUCGGCGGUUGGGGAUGGACUCGCGGCUCAUCAGCUUGUUGGUGGGGUAGUGGCUUACCAAGGCUUUGACGGGUAGCCGGCCUGAGAGGGUGACCGGCCACAUUGGGACUGAGAUACGGCCCAGACUCCUACGGGAGGCAGCAGUGGGGAAUACUGCACAAUGGGCGGAAGCCUGAUGCAGCAACGCCGCGUGCGGGAUGACGGCCUUCGGGUUGUAAACCGCUUUCGCCUGUGACGAAGCGUGAGUGACGGUAAUGGGUAAAGAAGCACCGGCUAACUACGUG